rnacentral:lncRNA from 1 species
CGGCACGGUGAUGCAUAGGGGUUCGAUUGGAACCCUUGUUUUGGACAGAAACCUAAGUUUCAACGUCGGGGGGUCUAAGAAAUCGUGAGGAUUCGAAGAAUCCUUCAAAAAUUCAUCAAUGGUUAUCAGAUUUUUUGAGAAACCAAUCAUCUCCGACGAUGGUUGGGUCCCAAAAACACGACUGCAGGUUGUGAUGCCCUAGAGAGACGGUAGUGAGGCCAUGGCAGACUGCAGGCUGCAGCUGGGUUCGUGGGUUUGAUGCCAAAACGGCGUCGUCUUCUCAGAUAGAGCAUUUGGGAUUUUGCUCCGGUGCAUCACGGCUCAAGAAGGCUCAUGUGAGCUUGGGUUUUGAAUUUCAAUGCAUAUUCAAUUAAAUAAUUUAAUGCAUAGAAAUAUAAUUGAUGAAAUUCAUGGCAAUAUCAAAUUCACAUAAUUCAACAAUUAUGGAUAUAAUGCAUAGACAAUUUAAGUAGAAUCUAAAACUCGAAAAAUGUAAAGUUGGAUCAUGCAUUAUGGUGAGUGUUCAAGCUAUCAAGGCUGCAUAAAUGUCGAGAUAAAAACCGUUGUUUUGAAAGAACCUGAUUACUGAUCGGAUCAUAUUUAUAUAUAUUUUUACUUCAAAUUCACUCGUCUUUUCUUAGUUAAUUCCUUAUAUUUUUUAGUUAUUUACGUUAUUUUUGUGUUUAUAGGAUUUGUUUAUGCAAAGAAAAUAAAAAUGGCACAAAUGAGUUUUAAAUAAUAAAUUCGUCAAAAAUUGCUUUAGUCGUUCUCAUUCUGUCAUGGGUUAUUGGUAGAAUUAUGUCUCGGAUUAUAGGUCAUGGAAGUUAGGCUAAAUUUAUUAGGUAUGCAUUAGAAAUUAUAUAGCAUUAGAAAUUAUAUGAUAUAUCUAAAAUUGAAGUGUUUUGCAGUUGGUGAGUAAAGAAAAGAAACAAAAAGAAAUAAGCCUUUGCAGCUAGUGGAAAACGAGUGGGAUGCCAGAAAAGAAUCCAAGGUGGGCAGCUGCUUUGGCAGCUGGUGAGAAACAGCAAGAGGGAGUCAGGGCAAUAUAGAAACGGAAAGAAGUGGGAAAGCAGAUGGGCUGCCCUUGGGUAGCGUGGGCAAUAUAGAAAAAUAAGAAGUGAGCUGCCCUUUGGAGCUGGAAGACCGACACGGGGUCAGCGAGAAGAAGUCAGAGGGAAGUGAGGACUGACGCAAGGAGAGACAGCAGCUGGGAAAGAAAAAGCUGCCCUUGGCAGCGCACGGGAAGAAGCAGCAGAAGGCUGCUUUGCGGCAGCAGAAACCGAGGUGAGGACGUGCAGAGAGGGCAGCAAGGCUGCCAGAAACAGAAAAUAAAAAAUGAUAGAGGGAAGUUAGGUGAGGGCGUAAAAGAAUAAAAGAAGGAGAGGUUAGAAGAAAA